ensembl:misc_RNA predicted gene, 22636
UGGUCAAACUCCAAGUUGCCAUUUAUUAACCCAUUAAUUACCAGGUUUGAAUCAGAUGAUCUGGCUGGCUAGGUGGAUGUCCUCUUCCUCUGGCCCCACUUGGCAUUCCUCUUCAAGCUGCACAUUUAGUGGAAGAGGACUACAUUUCCCAAAGAUGGGGACCAGUCUUUAGCCAAGAGUAUACAACUAGCUGUGCUCCCCUGCUAGAAACUUUAAACAAACAAGUCUUAUAAGGAAAACAUUUUAUUGGGGCUGACAUACAUAUUCAGAGGUUU